UUGAUGUUCCUGGAUGAAAAUUGUGAGGGAAAUAGCAUUUGGUUCUGGUAUGUGUUGGGAAAGCAAUGAGAUACUGAAAUAAAUGUAACUGUUUUUGAUUAUCCUUUAAAAAAAGCCCUAAAAUUUCCAUUUGACAGCUCUCUUGAGUUUUUAAAAUUACUCUAAAAUGAAAGCAUCAUCUAGCUACUACAGAAAUGACUGAUUUUGUAUUUCAUCACAGUCUUAAUAGCGGGUUUUUAUAUUUUUAGCCUUACAAUUUUAAAUUAACUGCUACUAAAUUUUUUACCAUAGGUUAUCUGUUUCUUUACCUCCAAAGCAAGAAGAGUUGGGAAAGUGCAGAGUUGAUCCAGGGACCACUUAAGUUGCAUGGAAACAAAUUAUUUUCAACAGAUUGCUACUUGGAGGUGCCUCUGUCAGACAUGAAACUUUAUUUAGCACAAGUCACACUUGUAAAAAAAGUAAUUCUUGAAUUAGAGAGAAACUGCUUGAAGUUUGCAGUUAUUUAUUUUUAAUCCUCAGUUUUGCAGGCAGGUUGUGUAAUGAAGGUGAAAGAAACCCCAUCAGCCUCUAUAUACAAGGUUUCUAGUACGAGAACAGAAUUCCUGUAUACAUUAGUGCCAAGCCUGAUCACAAAGAU